rnacentral:rRNA from 1 species
UACGAAGGGGGCUAGCGUUGCUCGGAAUCACUGGGCGUAAAGCGCACGUAGGCGGCUUCUUAAGUCAGGGGUGAAAUCCUGGAGCUUAACUCCAGAACUGCCUUUGAUACUGAGGAGCUUGAGUCCGGGAGAGGUGAGUGGAACUGCGAGUGUAGAGGUGAAAUUCGUAGAUAUUCGCAAGAACACCAGUGGCGAAGGCGGCUCACUGGCCCGGUACUGACGCUGAGGUGCGAAAGCGUGGGGAGCAAACAGG